UACCCUGGUAGUCCAUGCCGUAAACGUUGGGCACUAGGUGUGGGGAACAUUCCACGUUUUCCGCGCCGUAGCUAACGCAUUAAGUGCCCCGCCUGGGGAGUACGGCCGCAAGGCUAAAACUCAAAGGAAUUGACGGGGGCCCGCACAAGCGGCGGAGCAUGCGGAUUAAUUCGAUGCAACGCGAAGAACCUUACCAAGGCUUGACAUGUUCCCGUUCGCCGUAGAGAUACGGUUUCCCCUUUGGGGCGGGUUCACAGGUGGUGCAUGGUUGUCGUCAGCUCGUGUCGUGAGAUGUUGGGUUAAGUCCCGCAACGAGCGCAACCCUCGUUCCAUGUUGCCAGCACUUCGGGUGGGGACUCAUGGGAGACUGCCGGGGUCAACUCGGAGGAAGGUGGGGACGACGUCAAAUCAUCAUGCCCCUUAUGUCUUGGGCUUCACGCAUGCUACAAUGGCCGGUACAAUGGGUUGCGAUACUGUGAGGUGGAGCUAAUCCCUAAAAGCCGGUCUCAGUUCGGAUUGGGGUCUGCAACUCGACCCCAUGAAGUUGGAGUCGCUAGUAAUCGUAGAUCAGCAACGCUA
rnacentral:rRNA from 1 species